rnacentral:rRNA from 1 species
AUGGUUGUCGUCAGCUCGUGUCGUGAGAUGUUGGGUUAAGUCCCGCAACGAGCGCAACCCUUACGGUUAGUUGCCAGCGGGUUAUGCCGGGCACUCUAGCUGAACUGCCGUUGACAAAACGGAGGAAGUGGGGAUGACGUCAAAUCAUCAUGCCCUUUAUGUCCUGGGCUACACACGUGCUACAAUGGCCUGUACAGAGGGAAGCGAAAGGGUGACCUGGAGCGAAUCCCAAAAAGCAGGUCUCAGUUCGGAUUGCAGGCUGCAACCCGCCUGCAUGAAGUCGGAAUCGCUAGUAAUCGCAGGUCAGCAUACUCGUUGGUUCCGAAUACGUUCCGGGCCUU